UACGUAGGGGGCAAGCGUUGUCCGGAAUCAUUGGGCGUAAAGAGCGUGUAGGCGGCCCGAUAAGUCCGCCGUGAAAGUCCAGGGCUCAACCCUGGAAUGCCGGUGGAAACUGUCGGGCUGGAGUCCGGAAGAGGCGAGUGGAAUUCCUGGUGUAGUGGUGGAAUGCGUAGAGAUCGGGAGGAACACCAGUGGCGAAAGCGGCUCUCUGGUCCAAAACUGACGCUGAGGGGCGAAAGCGUGGGGAGCAAACAGG
rnacentral:rRNA from 1 species